ensembl:lncRNA
GUUAUGGUAAGGGGUGGUAAGGUGUUCUGUGCUGUGUUAUGGUAAGGGGUGGUAAGGUGUUCUGUGUUGUGUUGUGGUAUGGUAAGGUGUGCUGUGUUGUGUUGUGUUGUGGUAUGGUAAGGUGUGCUGUGUUGUGUUGUGGUAUGGUAAGGUGUUCUGUGUUGUGUUGUGGUAUGGUAAGGUGUUCUGUGUUGUAUUGUGGUAUGGUAAGGUGUGCUGUGUUGUGUUAUGAUAUGAUAUGGUAAGGUGUGUUGUGCUGUGUUGUGUUGUGGUAUGGUAAGGUGUGCUGUGUUGUGCUAUG